CCUACGGGUGGCAGCAGUGAGGAAUAUUGGUCAAUGGACGAAAGUCUGAACCAGCCAAGUAGCGUGAAGGAUGACUGCCCUAGGGGUUGUAACCUUCUUUUAUCUGGGAAUAAAAUGUUCCACGUGUGGGAUUUUGUAUGUCCCAUAUGAAUAAGGAUCGGCUAACUCCGUGCCAGCAGCCGCGUUAAUACGGAGGAUCCGAGCGUUAUCCGGAUUUAUUGGGUUUAAAGGGAGCGUAGGUGGAUUGUUAAGUAAGUUGUGAAAGUUUGCGGCUCAACGGGAAAAUUGCAGUUGAAACUGGCAGGCUUGAGUACAGUAGAGGUGGGCGGAAUUCGUGGUGUAGCGGUGAAAUGCUUAGAUAUCACGAAGAACUCCGAUUGCGAAGGCAGUUCACGGGACUGCAACUGACACUGAGGCUCGAAAGUGUGGGUAUCAAACAGGAUUAGAUACCCUUGUAGUC
rnacentral:rRNA from 1 species